rnacentral:rRNA from 1 species
CGGUGGAGCACGUGGUUUAAUUCGAUGCAAACCGAAGAACCUUACCUGGGUUUGACAUGUACGUGGUACGGAUCUGAAAGGUAGAAGGACCCGGUCUUCGGGACUGGGAGCGUACACAGGUGCUGCAUGGGCUGUCGUCAGCUCGUGUCGUGAGAUGUUGGGUUAAGUCCCGCAACGAGUGCAACCCCUGCUGCCAGUUGCCAACGGGUGAAGCCGGGCACUCUGGCGGGACUGCCAUCGACAAGAUGGAGGAAGGUGGGGAUGACGUCAAGUCAUCAUGGCCCUUAUGUCCAGGGCGACACACGUGCUACAAUGGCCGGCACAGCGGGAAGCGAGGCAGUGAUGCCAAGCGGAUCCCUUAAAGCCGGUCUCAGUUCGGAUUGAAGUCUGCAACUCGACUUCAUGAAGCUGGAAUCGCUAGUAAUCGCAGAUCAGCCAAGCUGCGGUGAAUACGUUCCCGGGCCUU